rnacentral:rRNA from 1 species
AAGUGGUAGGAGAGCGUUCUAUUUGCGUCGAAGGUAUACCGGUAAGGAGUGCUGGAGCGAAUAGAAGUGAGCAUGCAGGCAUGAGUAGCGAUAAUUAAUGUGAGAAUCAUUAACGCCGUAAACCCAAGGUUUCCUACGCGAUGCUCGUCAUCGUAGGGUUAGUCGGGUCCUAAGUCGAGUCCGAAAGGGGUAGACGAUGGCAAAUUGGUUAAUAUUCCAAUACCAACAUUAGUGUGCGAUGGAAGGACGCUUAGGGCUAAGGGGGCUAGCGGAUGGAAGUGCUAGUCUAAGGUCGUAGGAGGUUAUACAGGCAAAUCCGUAUAACAAUACUCCGAGAACUGAAAGGCUUUUUGAAGUCUUCGGAUGGAUAGAAGAACCCCUGAUGCCAUCGAGCCAAGAAAAGUUUCUAAGUUUAGCUAAUGUUGCCCGUACCGUAAACCGACACAGGUGGGUGGGAUGAGUAUUCUAAGGCGCGUGGAAGAACUCUCUUUAAGGAACUCUGCAAAAUAGCACCGUAUCUUCGGUAUAAGGUGUGGUUCGCUUUGUAUUAGGAUUUACUCCGAAAGCGAAGAAACUUACAACAAAGAGUCCCUCCCGACUGUUUACCAAAAACACAGCACUCUGCUAACUCGUAAGAGGAUGUAUAGGGUGUGACGCCUGCCCGGUGCUCGAAGGUUAAUUGAUGGGGUUAGCAUUAGCGAAGCUCUUGAUCGAAGCCCGAGUAAACGGCGGCCGUAACUAUAACGGUCCUAAGGUAGCGAAAUUCCUUGUCGGUUAAAUACCGACCUGCAUGAAUGGCGUAACGAGAUGGGAGCUGUCUCAAAGAGGGAUCCAGUGAAAUUGUAGUGGAGGUGAAAAUUCCUCCUACCCGCGGCAAGACGGAAAGACCCCGUGGACCUUUACUACAGCUUGACACUGCUAUUUGGAUAAGAAUGUGCAGGAUAGGUGGGAGGCUUUGAGUAUAUGACGCCAGUUGUAUAUGAGCCAUUGUUGAGAUACCACUCUUUCUUAUUUGGGUAGCUAACCAGCUUGAGUUAUCCUCAAGUGGGACAAUGUCUGGUGGGUAGUUUGACUGGGGCGGUCGCCUCCCAAAUAAUAACGGAGGCUUACAAAGGUUGGCUCAGAACGGUUGGAAAUCGUUCGUAGAGUAUAAAGGUAUAAGCCAGCUUAACUGCAAGACAUACAAGUCAAGCAGAGACGAAAGUCGGUCUUAGUGAUCCGGUGGUUCUGUGUGGAAGGGCCAUCGCUCAAAGGAUAAAAGGUACCCCGGGGAUAACAGGCUGAUCUCCCCCAAGAGCUCACAUCGACGGGGAGGUUUGGCACCUCGAUGUCGGCUCAUCGCAUCCUGGGGCUGGAGCAGGUCCCAAGGGUAUGGCUGUUCGCCAUUUAAAGCGGUACGCGAGCUGGGUUCAGAACGUCGUGAGACAGUUCGGUCCCUAUCUGCCGUGGGCGUAAGAAGAUUGAAGAGAUUUGACCCUAGUACGAGAGGACCGGGUUGAACAAACCACUGGUGUAGCUGUUGUUCUGCCAAGAGCAUCGCAGCGUAGCUAAGUUUGGAAAGGAUAAACGCUGAAAGCAUCUAAGCGUGAAGCCAACUCUAAGAUGAAUCUUCUCUAAGCUCUCUAGAAGACUACUAGUUUGAUAGGCUGGGUGUGUAAUGGAUGAAAGUCCUUUAGCUGACCAGUACUAAUAGAGCGUUUGGCUUAUCUUUAAUAAAGCAU